rnacentral:rRNA from 1 species
AUUGAACGCUGGCGGCAGGCCUAACACAUGCAAGUCGAGCGGAGCGGCGGACGGGCGAGUAAUGCCUAGGAAUCUGCCUGGUAGCGGGGGAUAACGUCCGGAAACGGGCGCUCAUACCGCAUACUAUCAGAUGAGCCUAGGUCGGAUUAGCUAGUUGGUGGGGUAAAGGCCUACCAAGGCGACGAUCCGUAACUGGUCUGAGAGGAUGACCAGCCACACUGGAACUGAGACACGGUCCAGACUCCUACGGGAGGCAGCAGUGGGGAAUAUUGCACAAUGGGCGCAAGCCUGAUGCAGCCAUGCCGCGUGUAUGAAGAAGGCCUUCGGGUUGUAAAGUACUUUCAGCGAGGAGGCGUUACCCGCAGAAGAAGCACCGGCUAACUCCGUGCCAGCAGCCGCGGUAAUUC